rnacentral:lncRNA from 1 species
GAGUGGCUACCGGUUCGCGGAUGAAGGCCCGAGGUUAAGCAAUGGGUGGUGUGAGAAACGUGAUCACAUAGAGGAAUCCAAUUGGGACACGUGUACCUUAAUGACCUUUAUAUACGGCAUAUUCCUAGAAUGUAGUGGUUAAGUAAGGGUAUUUCCGAAAUAUAAAAUAGGCUAACUCCUAGGAGCCUUCCCCCGUUGUAAAGAGUGAUGACUUUUUGAAUGGAAAAGUAGAGCCUUCCCCCAUUGUAAAGAGUGAUGACUUUUUGAAUGGAAAAGUAGAGUGUCCUUUCUUGAGUGAUUCCUUUACUGUUCGGUGGCAAUUUUGUUUGAGACCAACAACGGGUGACACAAUGACCAUUACUAGUAUUUCCUCUGAUCCGGAGGUCUUGUGGAGAUUAGUGAGAUGCAACGUGUGGCUACCAAUAUUUCCGACAUCAUCUCUGACUGCUUUUCGCCACUAUUUCCUACAUCAUCUCUGACUUCUUUUCGCGUAGUGAUUAUAUCAUUAAUUCUCAAAUUGUACUCCCUCC